CCUACGGGAGGCUGCAGUGGGGAAUAUUGGACAAUGGGGGCAACCCUGAUCCAGCCAUGCCGCGUGUGUGAAGAAAGCCCUCGGGUUGUAAAGCACUUUCAGUGAGGAAGAACGCCUGGUGGUUAAUACCCAUCAGGAAAGACAUCACUCACAGAAGAAGCACCGGCUAACUCCGUGCCAGCAGCCGCGGUAAUACGGAGGGUGCGAGCGUUAAUCGGAAUUACUGGGCGUAAAGCGCGCGUAGGUGGCUUGAUAAGCCGGUUGUGAAAGCCCCGGGCUCAACCUGGGAACGGCAUCCGGAACUGUCAAGCUAGAGUGCAGGAGAGGAAGGUAGAAUUCCCGGUGUAGCGGUGAAAUGCGUAGAGAUCGGGAGGAAUACCAGUGGCGAAGGCGGCCUUCUGGACUGACACUGACACUGAGGUGCGAAAGCGUGGGUAGCAAACAGGAUUAGAUACCCCUGUAGUC
rnacentral:rRNA from 1 species